rnacentral:rRNA from 1 species
UCGGAGAAGGCGCCUGAGAAAUGGCUGCCAUGUCUAAGGACAGCAGCAGGCGCGCAAAUUGCCCAAUACUAGCAUGAGCGAGGCAGCGACGAGAAGUAUUUACCUUGUGCUACAUUGUAUCACGAGGAUAGAAAUGGGUGAUAUCCAAAACCAUCACUGAGGAUCGAUUGGAGGGCAAGUCUGGUGCCAGCAGCCGCGGUAAUUCCAGCUCCAAUAGCUAUACUAAUGCUGUUGCUGUUAAAAAGCUCGUAGUUUGAUAAGGAUUGAUUCUGGUUCCGAUUCAGUACUUCGUAGCUUUGCUUCAAGUAUUCGAUGAGAUCCGUUUUGGAAUUGAUUCUGCAAUGAGUGACUCGUACGGAUGAAGAGCUAUUAAUUUAGCUUGGACUCGACUUCGCAGCCAACAUCUGCACAAGUACAGUCGUGCGUGAUACCGUGAACAAAACAGCGUGCUCAAAGCAAGUGAUUCUGCUCGAAUGUUCAAGCAUGGAAUAUCAAGGAAGCGACCGCGAGUCUAAUCUUUGCUGGUUUCUGUACGCGUCUUGGGGAAUCGGACUUGAGAAUAUCGUACUGUGCUGUUACUUCCGGGUGCAGCUCUGUACUAAGUUCUAGUUUUCCGGUAUUAACAGGGAUGAACGGAGCAGUGUGUAUUGGCUCGCGAGAGGUGAAUUCUUAGACCAUGCCAAGACAAACGUAAGCGAAGGCAUUCUGCAAGUAUAUCUUCACUAAUCAAGAACGAGAGUGCAGGGAUCGAAGAUGAUCAGAUACCGUCGUAGUCUGCUACUGUAAACGAUGCGAACUCGGGAUCAGCCGUCGCCAAUCUUUUCGAUUACCAGGCUGGAACCUACUUACUUCUCCUAGCGCGAAAGCUUUAAGUUUAUGCGUUCAGGGGGAGUACAGUUGCAAGGCUGAAACUUAAAGGAAUUGACGGAAUGACACCACAAGGCGUGGAUGCUGCGGCUUAAUUUGACUCAACACGGGGAAUCUCACCAGGUCAGGACGCAUGUUGGAUUGACAGAUUGAAAGCUCUUUCUUGAUUAUGUGUAUGGUGGUGCAUGGCCGCUCCUGGUUGGUGGAGUGAUUUGUCUGGUUGAUUCCGUUAACGAACGAGAUCUUGGCCCUUCAAUGACAGUUUGAUCGUAUUCGUAGUUCAGCAGACGCGCUUGCGUGCUCUCGCUGAAUGAGAUCUUGUCUUGUACUCAAGGGGACGAUGCAUGUUGACAAUGCAUGGAAGUGCGAGCCAAUAGCAGGUCUGUGAUGCUCCUAGAUGUCCUGGACGGCACGCGGCAUACAAUGGUGAAGAAAACGAGUUUGGUUUGUUUGAGCUCCUUGUGCGAAAUCAUUGGGGAAUCUGUGGAAACUUCAUCGUAUCGUGGAUCGUUGCUUGCAAUUAUUUGCCUUGAACCAGGAAUGCCUCGUAGACACAACUCAGCAAAUUGUAUCGAAUACGUCCCUGCCGUUUGUACACACCGCCCGUCGUUGCAAUCGAUCGGUUCAAUGCUAGAGGUCUUCCAGAGGUGAUUUCGAUCCUGUAUCGUGAUCUGCCAAAGUCGAUCAAUAGCAUUGAACUAGAGAAUGCAAAAGUCGUAACAAGGU